rnacentral:tRNA from 1 species
GGCCCAGACAGAAACCCAAAAUGCAAAUUUGGAGAAGAACUUUGGUUCCUGGGUCU